UGCUGACAGGCUGUUGGAUGCCUUGAGUCCUAUGUUAACGAAAUUUCUAAAUUACACAUUAAAUCGUCUCACGUACUCUAAGCUAGAGAUGGGUCCAUCACGUGUGCCACCUCUUCAACAUUCCUUUUUCUUUUUUCUUAUAAAAUUUUCCAGCGCUAUAUUUCCUUUGCCGACUGAUGAAACGAUUGUCAUCCGCACAUGAAUAUGGAUCGUGGACCAUAUGCUU
rnacentral:lncRNA from 1 species